AACGAACGCUGGCGGCAGGCUUAACACAUGCAAGUCGAACGCCCCGCAAGGGGAGUGGCAGACGGGUGAGUAACGCGUGGGAAUCUACCCAUCUCUACGGAAUAACUCAGGGAAACUUGUGCUAAUACCGUAUACGCCCUUCGGGGGAAAGAUUUAUCGGAGAUGGAUGAGCCCGCGUUGGAUUAGCUAGUUGGUGGGGUAAAGGCCUACCAAGGCGACGAUCCAUAGCUGGUCUGAGAGGAUGAUCAGUCACAUUGGGACUGAGACACGGCCCAAACUCCUACGGGAGGCAGCAGUGGGGAAUAUUGGACAAUGGGCGCAAGCUUGAUCCAGCCAUGCCGCGUGAGUGAUGAGGGCCCUAGGGUUGUAAAGCUCUUUCACCGGUGAAGUUAAUGACGGUAACCGGAGAAGAAGCCCCGGCUAACUUCGUGCCAGCCGCCGCCGUAAUAC
rnacentral:rRNA from 1 species